UACGUAGGGACCAAGCGUUGUCCGGAAUCAUUGGGCGUAAAGAGCGUGUAGGCGGCUUGUUAAGUCUUGCGUGAAAUCUCGGGGCUCAACCCCGAGCGGUCGUGAGAAACUGGCAGGCUAGAGUGCGGGAGAGGAGAGUGGAAUUCCUGGUGUAGCGGUGAAAUGCGCAGAUAUCUGGAGGAACACCGAUGGCGAAGGCAGGUCACUGGGCCGCAAUGACGCUGAGGAGCGAAAGCAUGGGGAGCGAACAGG
rnacentral:rRNA from 1 species